rnacentral:rRNA from 1 species
CACGUAGGGCGCAAGCGUUGUCCGGAAUUAUUGGGCGUAAAGAGCUCGUAGGCGGUCUGUUGCGUCCGCUGUGAAAACUCGGGGCUUAACCCCGAGCCUGCAGUGGAUACGGGCAGACUAGGGGUAGGUAGGGGAGAAUGGAAUUCCCGGUGUAGCGGUGAAAUGCGCAGAUAUCGGGAGGAACACCGGUGGCGAAGGCGGUUCUCUGGGCCGUACCUGACGCUGAGGAGCGAAAGCGUGGGGAGCGAACAGG